rnacentral:rRNA from 1 species
AUUGAACGCUGGCGGCAUGCCUUACACAUGCAAGUCGAACGGUAACAGAUCUUCGGAUGCUGACGAGUGGCGAACGGGUGAGUAAUACAUCGGAACGUGCCUAGUAGUGGGGGAUAACUACUCGAAAGAGUGGCUAAUACCGCAUGAGAUCUACGGAUGAAAGCAGGGGAUCGAAAGACCUUGUGCUACUAGAGCGGCCGAUGGCAGAUUAGGUAGUUGGUGGGAUAAAAGCUUACCAAGCCGACGAUCUGUAGCUGGUCUGAGAGGACGAUCAGCCACACUGGACUGAGACACGGCCCAGACUCCUACGGGAGGCAGCAGUGGGGAAUUUUGGACAAUGGGUGAAAGCCUGAUUCAGCAAUGCCGCGUGCAGGAUGAAGGCCUUCGGGUUGUAAACUGCUUUUGUACGGAACGAAAAGCCCUGGGUUAAUACCCUGGGGUCAUGACGGUACCGUAAGAAUAAGCACCGGCUAACUACGUGCCAGCCGCCGCCGUAACAC